AUUUUUUUUCCGGUUCAUUUUGAGGAGACCUCUGGAAGUUCACAAGUCCAAAACUAUUCUGAGAAAGAACAAUUAACUAAUAGUCGGUAUAUAAGAAAAGAUGCAGCUAUGUUGCCAAUUAAAGGGUUUCCUUUAACUGAGUCAGGUUUUAUCACUCUCUGCUGCUGGGGGUAAAGAUGUUAAAGAUGUUGUGAAGAAUAUUAUGGAAAAGUUUGUUGUAACAGUGC
rnacentral:lncRNA from 1 species